rnacentral:rRNA from 1 species
UACGUAGGGUGCGAGCGUUGUCCGGAAUUAUUGGGCGUAAAGGGCUCGUAGGCGGUUUGUCGCGUCGGGAGUGAAAAUCCAGGGCUUAACUCUGGACUGGCUUCCGAUACGGGCAGACUAGAGGUAUGCAGGGGAGAACGGAAUUCCUGGUGUAGCGGUGAAAUGCGCAGAUAUCAGGAGGAACACCAGUGGCGAAGGCGACUACCUGGCCCAUUCUUGACGCUGAGGCGCGAAAGCUAGGGGAGCGAACGGG